CGAACGCUGGCGGCAGGCCUAAUACAUGCAAGUCGAACGGCUCUUCGGAGCAGUGGCGGACGGGUGAGUAACGCGUGGGAAUGUGCCCUUUGGUACGGAACAACACAGGGAAACUUGUGCUAAUACCGUAUGUGCCCUUCGGGGGAAAGAUUUAUCGCCAUUGGAGCAGCCCGCGUUGGAGGAGGUAGUUGGUGAGGUAAAGGCUCACCAAGCCUACGAUCCAUAGCUGGUCUGAGAGGAUGACCAGCCACACUGGGACUGAGACACGGCCCAGACUCCUACGGGAGGCAGCAGUAGGGAAUCUUGCGCAAUGGGCGAAAGCCUGACGCAGCCAUGCCGCGUGUAUGAUGAAGGUCUUAGGAUUGUAAAAUACUUUCACCGGGGAAGAUAAUGACGGUACCCGGAGAAGAAGCCCCGGCUAACUUCGUGCCAGCCGCCGCAGUAAGAC
rnacentral:rRNA from 1 species